CUUAGACGCAGGCGAAGGAUGAAUUAGGCCUUUCGCCCGGAAAGUAGCUGCCCGGCAAGUCGGACCCUUCCUUCAGAGCAGACAAAACCACGUUUUAUAAGUUCGUGCUGUCUUCGCAGAGGAAAUAACGCCAGAAAGUCUUCCAAUGCAAAUACAGAAAGGGAUUUCGUGAGAAAUCUGCCCUUGUGAAGUUGAAAUUCCCCUACCCCCACACCGCUGCCUUGAGUGAGGCCAGGUCGCUCUACAUUCUCCUUUCAUCCAACAACUGUAGUUAAUGUUUACUGGAUACGCCUAUACAUUGGGUUCAGUGGGUUCCAGAUUGUAAAUUCCAUGAAGGCAAGGCUGAGUGUUUUGUUGCUUUUCGCUACUCCCUUAUUCACAGCACCAAGAACCAUACCUGGAACAAGCUAUCAUAGGCCUUCCCUGCACAUGACAAAGCUCUACAUCUGACAUCACCACCAUCUACAUGGAGUGUCCACCGAAGGGGGUCCAGAGGAGUGGGGAAGAGCAUCAGAUCUAGAGUCAGGCUGCCUGGGAUUGAAUCCCAGCUUCAGUAGUCACUAGCUGUGUAAGCUUGGGUAAGUA